GCGCGGUCGCUCGUGGUCAGUACCGAGUUCAAUGUCAAUAUCAGAGGAACCGCAAUCGCCACUGCAAUAGUCACAUUUCGCGAUCACAGUUCUUGGAUAUUUCGGCGACAGACAUCACAUAGACUUCCGUACGCGACGAUAAUAUAAUAAAGUUUUUGUUUUUUUCCGUCUCGACUUGUCAUCCGUUUCGCAUCCACCGCGGUCUCAAUCGUUUCGCAGUCAAUAAUAUUCGCGAGUUUCGGCGUUUGAAGUGUUUCAGUCAGUCAGACCAUAAUAAUAUCGUCGUAUACGACGCGACAUAAUAAUAUUAUAAUAUACCGGCUGAUACCUAGGUAUUUAUACCGCGCCCAUUCUCCGCGUAAAGUCCGACACGAUGUACGUGAACCCGUGGAUCAGGAAACACUCGACCAUCAGACAGGUGAUCGAUAAGCUGUUGUCGAUCAACACGAACAAGACGAAGAAGUUCGACGCGAUGCUGAACAAGAAAAAGCACUCCGGAAGUAACAGGACGACGGCAGCAGCGGUGGCGACGGCGACGGCGACGGACAAGCGACGCAAGUGUUAGCAUCGGCCGGAAGUGAGACGAAAGUCGUGCAGCGGUUUUGUUUUUUUCGCGACGAGAAAAAUAAUAAGUCCGUCCGAAAAUGUUCCUACCUAUGUAUAAUACGUUAUUAUUACACUGUCGAUCAUAGUACAAAAUAUAAUACGAUAUUUGUAUACCACCGCGUUACCGUUGUUAUAUGAUAUUAUAUAUCUACCUAUCCACGCCGCCGCUGGAGAGAGACGCUGCCGUCGAAGAUUAUAAUAUAAUAUACCUAAUAUAAUAUACCUAUGACACAUAAUAAAAUAUAAUAUACGUUUGCUAUACGUUUCGUACCCUCGUAUCGUAGUAUAACUAUAGUAUAGUAUUAUUAUCUAUUAUAGCUGUAUAAUAUAAUACAAUAUUAUAUAAUAAUCAAGGCCACAAACGAAGAUAUUAUGAUAAAUGAUAAUUAUUAUAUGUACGCCGAUUGUAAAUAUAUAUUUAUAUAUAAAAUGCCGCACAAGUACUACGCUACGUCUCCACACCGAGUUAAGCGAGCUGUUUGUCGGGGUCGUCCGGAUAUACUAUAAACAAUACAACGUCCGGAACAUAUUAUUAUAAUACGACCGCAUUGUUGUAUACGAUGUACCCACACGACGUAUUCUACUGCCGGUCCACAUUACCGUCAAUUUAGUCAAAACGGAUUUGGACUGUAUUCAGAAUAUCAUCAUCACCAUCAUCAUCAUCAUUGUAUUAUUAUUAUUAUUAUUAUUAUUAUUAUAAUACCGACCACCACGGAGACGGAUUCGCGUUCUCACGGGACUACGACAAGGACGACGCAUCAUCUGCAGCCAUAUCAGAUUUACGUAGAAAUAGAUUAAAAUUGUAUUUGGUUAUACAGUUGAGUCAGAAAACCCAUCAGGAUUACGAAUACUACUUGAAGAUGUACGAGACCACUUUUAUUUAGCAUUUUCGACGUAAUGUGCUUGUAAUAUUGUUUUUUAUUUGUACGUGUAAUUUUUUUUUUAUAUUAUUUGAUUAAUUUUAUUGUAUUUGUAUGAAUUUACCACUUUUACUAUUUUUAUAUAAAAUAUAUUAAAUUUAUUUAAAAAA
rnacentral:lncRNA from 1 species